rnacentral:rRNA from 1 species
CCUACGGGAGGCAGCAGUGGGGAAUCUUGCGCAAUGGGCGAAAGCCUGACGCAGCGACGCCGCGUGCGGGAAGAAGGCCUUCGGGUUGUAAACCGCUUUCAGGAGGGAAGAAGCGAAAGUGACGGUACCUCCAGAAGAAGCCCCGGCCAACUACGUGCCAGCAGCCGCGGUAAUACGUAGGGGGCAAGCGUUGUCCGGAAUUAUUGGGCGUAAAGAGCUCGUAGGCGGUCCAUUAAGUCGGAAGUGAAAUCUCAGGGCUCAACCCUGAAAUUGCUUUCGAUACUGGUGGACUUGAGGCAGGUAGGGGAAGGUGGAAUUCCUGGUGUAGCGGUGAAAUGCGCAGAUAUCAGGAGGAACACCAAUGGCGAAGGCAGCCUUCUGGGCCUGUUCUGACGCUGAGGAGCGAAAGCGUGGGGAGCAAACAGGAUUAGAUACCCCAG